rnacentral:rRNA from 1 species
AACGAACGCUGGCGGCAUGCCUAACACAUGCAAGUCGAACGAGACCUUCGGGUCUUGUGGCGCACGGGUGCGUCACGCGUGGGAACCUGCCCUUAGGUUCGGAAUACCUCCCCGAAAGGGGUGCUAAUACCGGAUAAUGUCUUCGGCCCAAAGAUUUAUCGCCUUUGGUUGGGCCCUCGUUGGAUUAGCUUGUUGGUAGGGUAAAAGCAUACUACGGCGACGAUGCAUAGCUGGUCUGAGAGGAUGAUCAGCAACACUGGGACUGAGACGCGGCCCAGACUCCUACGGGAGGCAGCAGAGGGGAAUAGUGGACAGUGGGCGGAGGCCUGAUCCAGCAAGGACGCGUAAGUGAUGAAGGCCGUAGGGUUGUAAAGCUCUUGUACCCGGGAUGAUAAUGACAGUACCGAGAGAAUAAGCUCCGGCUAACUCCGUG